CCCUUAGAUGUUCUGGGCCACACGCGCGCUACACUGAUGCAUUCAACGAGUUUCUUCCUGGUCCGAGAGGAAUGGGUAACCUUUUGAAAGUGCAUCGUGAUAGGGAUAGACUAUUGCAAUUAUUGGUCUUCAACGAGGAAUUCCUAGUAGACGUAGUUCAUCAGACUGCAUCGAUUACGUCCCUGCCCUUUGUACACACCGCCCGCCGCUCCUACCGAUUGAAUGCUCAGGUGAGCCAUUCGGACUUUCAUCAUGCUGGUUUCCAGUUUUGAUGAAGGAAAGUCUUGCGAACCUUAUCAUUUAGAGGAAGGAGAAGUCGUAACA
rnacentral:rRNA from 1 species